rnacentral:rRNA from 1 species
AUGCGUGAUGCGGAGAGAGAAACCACUCUUCUACCAAACCCUUGCCCCAUGGAACUCGCCCGCCGAGCCGCUCAUCGGGCCGACGCCGGCGACAUCUACGGCAUUCCCACCCCUUCCGCUGAUGAGCAGAUGACGAUACAAGAGCUCCACCGGGAACUCUUGCACGAGAAAAUCCGCCAGCGAAUCAUCGUGGACGAACUGGCCAAGCAGCAGGAGCUGGAGGCUGAGUUCCAGCGCGAACUCUUGAACAGUGAUGUUGAUGCCAGGUUCCGGCAGAUCACAAUGCCCCACCAUGGCACAUCCCCUUUGCCUCAUGAUGAGCCACUGGAUGUACCCGUGUCGAUUGCGAGGCGGCCCGUCAAAGAUCGGACCGUGGAAUGGGAUCGACCUCCACGGUGCAGGCCGGCGAGCGAGGAGGAUGCACCGAUCGUUGGGGCUAAGCAGCACAAAAAUGCACUCUCUGGGAUGAAGAGGAAACGGACUGCAGAAACUCCAUCGUUGAUUUGCAGCAUCUGCGACGCAAAAUGCUAUCGUGAAACAGAUUUACAGAAUCACUUAAGAGGCAGAAGGCACCAAGAGAACAUAGAAGCUCUUCAGGGAGAAGGCAAGGGAGCUGAAGCGAGGCUACAUGAAAAAGAAGUGCCCCAGCUUGCAGACAAAAACCUGAAACCAAUGCCAACAUGGUUUUGCAGCAUCUGCGAUGCUAACUGUACAUCUCAGUCUGACCUCAAGAAUCACCUCCGAGGCAGAAGGCACCAACAGAACAUAGAAGCUCUGCAAGGAGAUGGCAAGGACCCUGAAGUGUCAAGAUGGAUGUGCAGCAUCUGCAAUGCUAACUGCACAUCUCAAUCUGACCUUGAGAGUCAUCUCCGAGGCAGAAGGCACCAAGAGAACAUAGAAGCUCUGCAAGGAGAUGGCAAGGACCCUGAAGUGUCAGGAUGGAUGUGCGACAUUUGCAAUGCUAAUUGCACAUCUCAAUCUGAUUUNNNNNNNNNNNNNNNNNNNNNNNNGCACCAAGAGAAGAUAGAAGCUCUGGAAGGAGAUGGCAAGGACCCUGAAGUGUCAAGAUGGAUGUGCUACAUUUGCAAUGCUAACUGCACAUCUCAAUCUGAUUUCGAGAGUCACUUCCGAGGCAGAAGGCACCAAGAGAACAUAGAAGCUCUGCAAGGAGGUGACAAGGACCCUGAAGUGUCAAGAUGGAUGUGCGACAUUUGCAAUGCUAAUUGCACAUCUCAAUCUGAUUUCGAGAGUCACCUCCGAGGCAGAAGGCACCAAGAGAACAUAGAAGCUCAGCAAAGAGAUGGCAAGGAUCCUGAACUGUCAAGAUGGAUGUGCGACAUUUGCAAUGCUAAUUGCACAUCUCAAUCUGACUUCGAGAGUCACCUCCGAGGCAGAAGGCACCAAGAGAACAUAGAAGCUGAUGACAAGGGAACUGAAGCGUCAAGAUGGAUGUGCGACAUCUGCAAUGCUAACUGCACAUCUCAAUCUGACCUCAAGAGUCACCUCCGAGGCAGAAGGCACCAAGAGAACAUAGAAGCUCUGCAGGGAGAUGGCAAGGGAACUGAAGUGUCAAGAUGGAUGUGCAACAUCUGCAAUGCUAACUGCCUGUCUCGAUCUGAUUUCGAGAGUCACAUCCGAGGAAGAAGGCACCAAUCAAACUUGCAAGCCUGA